UGGGAGAAAGUAAAGCAGAGGCCAUUCAAAUUCCUGGAGCCUGCUUUCCUUCUAAGGCCCAAUUCAAACCAGAUAAAUCCUCCAAGAAUCUAGUUCUACGAGGUGACAGACAAAUGAGAGUGUCCGAGAAGCAGGCCAGGUCUCUGUACUGUGGACAGUGGCCACCACUAUUAUGAACAAAUAUGUGACAGGAAGAUGGGAAAUACAUAAAAGACACUGAGGUCCUUGUGCUGCGGAGUGACACAGAACUCAAGAUGUGACGGCGGUGAGGACCAGGCUGGUGUGAGUGGCCUGUGCUGACACCUGAG
rnacentral:lncRNA from 1 species